GCAGUCGUGGCCGAGUGGUUAAGGCGAUAGACUAGAAAUCUAUUGGGAUCUUCCCGCACAGGUUCGAAUCCUAUCGACUGCG
rnacentral:tRNA from 1 species